UACAGAGGGUGCAAGCGUUAAUCGGAAUUACUGGGCGUAAAGGGCGCGUAGGUGGUUUGGUAAGUUGGAUGUGAAAUCCCCGGGCUCAACCUGGGAAUGGCAUUCAAUACUGCUUGACUAGAGUAUGGUAGAGGGAAGCGGAAUUCCACAUGUAGCGGUGAAAUGCGUAGAUAUGUGGAGGAACAUCAAUGGCGAAGGCAGCUUCCUGGACCAAUACUGACACUGAGGCGCGAAAGCGUGGGUAGCAAAC
rnacentral:rRNA from 2 species